CUCCAUGUUCCAUGUUCCAAGUUCUAUGCUCCGUUCACCACAGCAUAAGAACACAGUCUGUUGCACAUCCAGUCAGUCAGUUUCAAACCUCGCAUCUACACACUGAAGUUUUCCGGACCUACACUUGCAGAAAGCAACCAUGUAAUGCCUCAGGAGUCUGUAGAGGGGACGAAGACGCGUUCUGCUGCACUUAACAGAGCUCAAGACCAACGAGACGCCAUCCGGACGCCACGUCAAUGGGACGCCAUCCGGACGCCACGUCAAUGGGACGCCAUCCGGACGCCACGUCAACGGGACGCCAUCAAGACGUCACGUCAACCCCUCAGGAGCAAAUGGGACCAACAGGACGCCAUCAGGAC